AAGGAUUUAAGUUAAUCAAACUAGUAACCUUCAAAGUUACCAAUAAGGACUUCUCACUCUUAAGCCUUA
rnacentral:tRNA from 1 species